rnacentral:lncRNA from 1 species
AUGCCCAGGAAUGGGGUUCAGGGAAGGACCAGUUACUUCCCUUCACUUCCUGGGAUAACCAUAUAUUUCUGUGACCUCUUUGGGGCUGACAUAGGGGUGUCCUGUGGAGGCCUUGCCUUGCAAUAUGUCUCCAUUCUGCUUCAGAGGAUGUUCGUGGGGCCAGACACAGGGAGCAGCAGUGGUCACCCAGGGGGGUCCCUGGCCUGUGGGACAGCAGCUGCCCAGAUGACAACUAUGGGCUUGUGGCCAACAAGAGGAGGUCCUACUCCUUCACCUCAGCCACUUACCAGAAGAUCACCCCGGUGGCCAUGCCCAAGGAGCUGGUGGAGGCUGGGAGCAGCUACUCCGUCACACUGUACAUCGGGGAGCAAGCACCAGCCCUGCCCCGGGCACGCUGCCACUCCUUCGUGGCCCGGCCGGGGAGCCCGCAGGACACACUGGGGGAGAAGACCCCUAGUCCCCCUCGGCCCAAGAACAAAUCUGUCUUCAAGAAGUUCUUUGGGAAGAAGGAGUGAGCCCCAAAUGAGGGGGAGAAAAGCCCUAACCUGCCCUCUAUCCUCCUCUUGGGUGCCAUCCUGGUAUGGUCGCCACUCCCAGCACCAGCUCACUGCUCGCUGCCUCCCCGGGGGAGAGAGGCUGUGGCAAGUGGCUCUGCUCCAGCCAGCCCUGGUGCUGCACCGCGCCCCAGCCACCACAGCCCCUGGCCUCAGCCUGGCGCUGAGCACCCCUCCUGCCUGCCUGCCCUCCUACCCGGUGCUCUCCCUGGGUGCCACUGGCUCCCCAGGCAUCCUGCCAACAUGCAACACAAGCAGGUGUGUGUGUGUGGGGGGGGGGGGGUUAUUAAAAAAGAAACAGACACUUAGUCUGGGAGCUUCUUCCUCCAGCAGCACCUCUCAACACAGGUGAGGGGCUCUGCAAGGUGGUCCCUGCUAAGGGAUGGGGGGAGCUUCAGAUGAGGGGGGCCACUACAGCAGAGUUCAGCCCUGCUCAGGGAGAAGCCUGAGCUGUCUUAUGCUUCUCACAAGGAUGCUUUGUCCCAUGGUUCCUCUGUGCCUGCACCCAGCCCAGCUAAUCCCAUGGGCCCCUUUUCCCUGCCACAGGAGCUCAACGGAGAAGCUGCUGCCUAUAGAGCAAAUCCUCCUACCUGCACAGCCCUGCCAGGCCUGCCCAGGCUUCCUCUUGCAGGAUGGCCGCCAGCACAGGUCACGGCAGGUAGAUGUUGCAUGCCAUGGAGGGGGCCAGGGGACUGUGACCUCCUGCAACCCAGAUACUUUGCAAUAACUUCACCAGGCUAUACCGGCUGCAGCUGCCCCAGUUCCAGCUUGCACUGGGAAGCGGGAAGAGGAGCUGGCCCAACCUGCCCUGAGAAUGUACUAGCCCCGGCAGGAGAAGGCGAAGUUUCCAGGGUUGUGGGUAGCCAGACCUCUUCCCAGUGGGCUGCGAGGCUCGGACAUGCACACCCCUUGCCUCCUCAUACAUGUUGUGGGGUUUAAAAUAGAAGUGCUGGCUGCAGCCCAGCUCUGCAGCAAGGGCUGGGAGAGGAGAAAUGCUCCUGCCACCCCAUCUCCCUCCCGCAGAGUCCCCAGGGCUGGGGACAGGCAGUGAGCAGGUGGGCAUGCCCCUGUCACCAGCAGAACAGCUUUCUCCAUGCUCCCACUGAGGGGUGGGAGGAAAUGGCAGCAAGGGGUGCUGCCAUGUGGGCAUGGGUGUGUUUUUGUGCUUCCCCUGUGCCUUCCCACCCUCCCCUUGGCUCCAUUGCUCUUGGCUCCAGCACCUGUUUUUCUC